rnacentral:rRNA from 1 species
GAUGAACGCUGGCGGCGUGCCUAAUACAUGCAAGUCGAGCGAACAGACGAGGAGCUUGCUCCUCUGACGUUAGCGGCGGACGGGUGAGUAACACGUGGAUAACCUACCUAUAAGACUGGGAUAACUUCGGGAAACCGGAGCUAAUACCGGAUAAUAUAUUGAACCGCAUGGUUCAAUAGUGAAAGACGGUUUUGCUGUCACUUAUAGAUGGAUCCGCGCCGCAUUAGCUAGUUGGUAAGGUAACGGCUUACCAAGGCAACGAUGCGUAGCCGACCUGAGAGAGUGAUCGGCCACACUGGAGCUGAGACACGGUCCAGACUCCUACGGGAGGCAGCAGUAGGGAAUCUUCCGCAAUGGGCGAAAGCCUGACGGAGCAACGCCGCGUGAGUGAUGAAGGUCUUCGGAUCGUAAAACUCUGUUAUUAGGGAAGAACAAAUGUGUAAGUAACUAUGCACGUCUUGACGGUACCUAAGCAGAAAGCCACGGCUAACUACGU